GCGGCAUGGAUUAGGCAUGCAAGUCGAGCGAGAAGAGUUUUGAAGCUUGCUUUAGAACUCGGACAGCGGCGAAAGGGAGAGUAACGCGUAGUUAUGUGCCCUAGGGUCCGGAAUAGCCACGGGAAACUGUGGGUAAUGCCGGAUAACAUCCCCGGAUCAAAGGUGUGAUUCCGCCCUAGGAGCAGACUGCGUCCUACUAGCUAGUUGGUGGGGUAAUGGCCCACCAAGGCAAUGAUGGGUAGCGGGUGUGAGAGCAUGACCCGUCUCACUGGGACUGAGACAGUGCCCAGACACCUACGGGUGGCUGCAGUCGAGAAUCUUCGGCAAUGGGCGAAAGCCUGACCGAGCGAUGCCGCGUGCGGGAUGAAGGCCCUCGGGUUGUAAACCGCUGUCGUAGGGGAGGAAGGUUCCGUGAAGAGCGGAAUUUGACCUAUCCUAGGAGGAAGUACGAGCUAAGUUCGUGCCAGCCGCCGCCGUAACAC
rnacentral:rRNA from 1 species